AGCGGAAUUCGUGAGACCUUUUUUUUUCCACUGAGUCAUUUCUUUGCUCAGGUGGUCAAAGCUUUGAAGACUCAUCUUCAGCAUCAGUGAUUCUAAUUCUUCUUCAGAGUUGAUUUCCUUUAUGUUUGACUGGAUUUAUGUCCUUGCAAUUCAAUGGAUACACACAAGUCAUUCCUAGCAGAGCAGUUUGGUGUUCUCACAUCUGUACAUGUCUACUGGAAAGACCAUAGAUGUGACUCAAAGUGCCUCCAUUGAUCAAGUCAUGUCUUCACUUUUUAACAUGCUUUCUAAAUUUGUGAGAGCUUUUCUUCCAGGAAGAAAUUGUCUUCUAAUUUUAUAGCUUCCAUCACCAUCUGCAGUGAAUUUAGAGCCAAAAGAGGUAAUCUGUCACUGCUUCUGUCUUUUCCACUUCCAUUUCCCAUGAAAGUGUGGGACCAGAUGUCAUGAUCUUACUUUGUGUAAUACUGAGAAGGAAAUGGCAACCCACUCCAGUGUUCUUGCCUGGAUAAUCCCAGGGAUUGGUGAGCCUGGUGGGUUGCCAUCUCUGGGGUCACACAGAGUCGGACACGACUGAAGCAACUUAGCAGCAGCAGCAGAGAAUUCAAAUGUACUGUUUACCCUAUGUUUUCCUAUGAACACUGAGAAUUACUGUAUUCUCGGGUCUCACGAAUUCCGCU
rnacentral:sRNA from 1 species